UUAGAAUACGUUAAACGCCAUUAUUUUCUAUAAUAUUACUUCAAUUAUCUAUCCGCGCAAUUGACUACGUUUUAAUCAACUCGCGUCGCGUGAUAUUAGAAUGAGAUAAGUGUUAUAUUUUUCAUCAGCAAUAAAAAGUUACGGAUAUAGGUAUCGGUUAGAUCGAGUUUAAGUAAAUUUCAAAUAUUGCAAUGUUUUUAAUUAAUAAAUAAUAUCUAUCGUAUCUAAACACGCAUAUAUUUUGAUAUUUACGUAAUAUAAUAAAGUGCGCAAUUAACGGGAGUGUCAUGCAAAAAGUCGCGCAAUUGUCAUGUAUCGAUUAAUAAUAUGUGAGUGCCAAGAAGCAACAAACGAUAAACGAGAGAGAAGAAAAAGAGGCAGGAAAGCAUCGGACGAUAGCAACAACUGUGAAACAGACUGCGGAGAUACACCAGCAGAUUAUUACCACCGCACUGCGGCGCAUCUCGUUCUAUUAUUCCCAAAGAUGGAGAGAGUGAGGCUGAAAAUCAAUUAUGCCUUUAAAUCCGCCGCUGAGGAAGCAGCGGAAGAGGAAGAGGAUGAUCUGACAUACGGCACGCGCAGGAUUCCGGCGACUUGAAAAUCAAGGGUCGACCACGAAAUGCCGCGCCGUAGAUGGGGAAGACCGAUCCGAGCGGUUGAGGGUGUAGACAGAUAGACGGACGGACGGAUAGUCGGUGGGUCGGUCCUUUUCGCCCUUUAGCGAGGCACAAUAGCCGGUCAUUUGAGGGUUCUCGGACCAAGCCGAGAGCCGACACGAUCGGCCUCUGUCGAACCCAUCCCCGUGAGUAGAUAGGUAGAUAAGUGGAUAGGAACAUCGUCGUCCACCACUGAGAGCAUCUCGGUGAAGGGGUGAGACGCGUUACUUGAGACUCGAACUACCAUCGAACGCAACUAUCGAGAAUCCGGUUUCGCCUUUCUGUCUGUCUCUCUCUCUUUCUCUCCUCUCAUCUCUCCGUACUCUCCGGUGUCUUACCGAGAGUAACCGGACGGAUAUCUUUGCUCGUAGGGCUGCAAGUUCGUCGUCCUCUUAUUUUGCACACACCUUCGGGCAGUGUAUCUUGAGCGGCAUUGUGAUGGAAAUUCUCACCGCGCGUAUUCACCCGCCAAUCAUUCGGCCCGAAGAAAAACACUUAUCGGGGGUACCUGCCAUGUCGGCGGAAGACGAGAGAAAGAGAGAGAGAGAGAGAAAGAAAAAGGGUGAAAGGAAAAGAGAACGACAAAGAAGAAUCGCGCCGGAUAUGUGGUCAAACGAAAAUCGAGCGAUAACGCUUUUCAUCUUGCGUGUCUAUUGUGCGUCUCGUCGUCGAUACGCGCAAUAAGUUUGAUAAAUUUAUUCGUUUCAGGGAAUUUUACAAACAAUGUAAUGGAAUGCAAAUUAACCUUCUUCGAGUACGAUGUUCCGUUCAUCCAUUGAAGUCUUUGUCGGUUUCAAUGUCGGUCGCGAAGACCGAGAUUAAUAAAAUAAAAAGCAAUAAAAUUUUUACUUUAUUGAAAUAAUAGCGACUACAAUGUUUAUGAAGAAUGUUGCUCCGUCAAAUACUGCAGCGCGCGCGCACGAGCUGCAUUGGACGGCUGUUCAGACAAAAAGAGAGAGAGAGAGAGAGAACAGAGUAAAAUUAAAAGUUAAGUGUAUAAAGCUUCAAUAAAGCGUUCCGCGAACGUACUGACAGAGGUAAAUUGCACCCGACGAAAAUCGGGCGACCGCUCUCGCGACUGAGCGAGUAUUAAUUUAUUCGCUUUGAAUGCUUCUCAGAUGGCGAGUCACGACGAUCAAAUGAAUUUGCCGUUGCGUUUGCAAUCGACCGAGCGACGGAAAUACGGUAUUUUGUAUCGGGCAAACGAUAUCGAGCAAUAAAAGCUAUUUACAUAUCGUUGCGCGAAUCAAACGUUCUCGGACACACGCUCGACACUCCUAUAAACAGCGAAUUAAAAAGGAUUCCCGGUUCUUUUUCCCUAUAAUACUUACAAAGUCUAAUUCUUUAUGACAACGUUCAUCAGACAAAUAUGCAUAUUUGAUUUUAUAUAAAAUUAAAAGCCUCGAGCUCUUUACAAUCGUCGCAAAACGGCAAAACAUCGACUCUCGGGGAAAUCAUGUCGCUCGAUAAGAGAACGAUCGGGCCGAACGUCUACUUUCGAUGCCGAACAUGAAUCCCGAAGGCGUUCUCAUAAAUUCGGGAAGCCGCUUUUCGCGCCGAUUCGCUCCCGAUCGCUAAACGCCCAGUGAUCCGGACCGGCGUGCUUUAUGGAGCGCGCCCGCCGGACGACGAUGACGACGACGGACGUACGUGAGGCCCCAUAUUUCCAGCGGAUGUAGAACGAUUUCGUGAGUUGGUAUCGCAAAUGAAAUCACGUACUCGCCCGUUGAACGCGGAAACGACCGACUGGGCGAACGAUUCCGUAUGUUUGCGAGCGCGAAUACGAUCAAACGAGGAGAAGGCACGUUUAUACGAGUUGACAAUUUCGAGUCUGACAUUGCGCGGCUAUAUCUACUGAAAUAUUCCUCGAAUGAUAUAGCAAUCCUAUCACGAUUUUAAAUAAAUCAUAGAGAUCGUUUCUUAAUAGCUUCUAUUUUUCCAUUGAGUCUAUUUUAUGCCAAUUAUAUACAUACACAAAAUAUUAAUAACUAAUAAUAAUGCAAAAAAGUCAAAAUUAUCAUGUAAUCUAUUGUGGCAUAUAAUCGAUGCUUUUUUUUCACG